GCCGUUGUGGCGCAAUGGUAGCGCAUCACCUUCCUAAGGUGGGGGUUGUGGGUUCGAUCCCCAUCAGCGGUA
rfam:Stereum hirsutum FP-91666 SS1 unplaced genomic scaffold STEHIscaffold_17, whole genome shotgun sequence.